rnacentral:rRNA from 1 species
UACGUAGGCAGCAAGCGCUGUUCGGAGUUACUGGGCGUAAAGAGUAUGUAGGCGGUUGCGUAAGUUCGGUGUGAAAUCUCCCGGCUUAACUGGGAGGGUGCGCCGAAAACUGCGUGGCUUGAGUGCGGGAGAGGAGAGCGGAAUUCCUGGUGUAGCGGUGAAAUGCGUAGAUAUCAGGAGGAACAUCGGCGGUGUAGACGGCUCUCUGGACCGUUACUGACGCUGAGAUACGAAAGCGUGGGUAGCAAACAGG